CCUACGGGAGGCAGCAGUGGGGAAUUUUGCGCAAUGGGCGAAAGCCUGACCCAGCGACGCCGCGUGGAGGAUGAAGUCCGUUAGGAUGUAAACUCCUUUUGCAGGGGAUGAAUGUUCCGCCUCGAGCGGACUUGACAGUACCCUGCGAAUAAGGAUCGGCUAACUACGUGCCAGCAGCCGCGGUAAUACGUAGGAUCCGAGCGUUGUCCGGAAUUACUGGGUGUAAAGGGCGUGUAGGUGGGUCUCUAAGUCGGUGGUGAAAUCCUACAGCUUAACUGUAGAAUUGCUUCCGAAACUGGAGAUCUUGAGUGCGGUAGAGGGAGAUGGAAUUCAUGGUGUAGCGGUGAAAUGUGUAGAUAUCAUGAAGAACACCGGUAGCGAAGGCGGUCUCCGGGCCCGCAACUGACACUGAGGUGCGAAAGCCAGGGGAGCGAACGGGAUUAGAUACCCCUGUAGU
rnacentral:rRNA from 1 species